GACGAACGCUGGCGGCGUGCUUAACACAUGCAAGUCGAACGGCAAGGCCCUGCUUUUGUGGGGUGCUCGAGUGGCGAACGGGUGCGUAACACGUGAGUAACCUGCCCUUGACUUUGGGAUAACUUCAGGAAACUGGGGCUAAUACCGGAUAGGAGCUCCUGCUGCAUGGUGGGGGUUGGAAAGUUUCGGCGGUUGGGGAUGGACUCGCGGCUUAUCAGCUUGUUGGUGGGGUAGUGGCUUACCCAGGCUUUGACGGGUAGCCGGCCUGAGAGGGUGACCGGCCACAAUGGUACUGAGAGACGGCCCAGACGCCUACGGGAGGCAGCAGUGGGGAAUAUUGCACAAUGGGCGGAAGCCUGAUGCAGCAACGCCGCGUGCGGGAUGACGGCCUUCUGGUUGUAAACCGCUUUCGCCUGUGACGAAGCGUGAGUGACGGUAAUGGGUAAAGAAGCACCGGCUAACUACGUG
rnacentral:rRNA from 1 species